rnacentral:rRNA from 1 species
AUUGAACGCUGGCGGCAGGCCUAACACAUGCAAGUCGAACGGCAGCACAGAAGAGCUUGCUCUUUGGGUGGCGAGUGGCGGACGGGUGAGUAACACGUAGGAAUCUACCCAGUAGUGGGGGAUAACCUGGGGAAACCCAGGCUAAUACCGCAUACGCCCUGAGGGGGAAAGCGGGGGAUCUUCGGACCUCGCGCUAUUGGAUGAGCCUGCGUCGGAUUAGCUAGUUGGUGGGGUAAGGGCCCACCAAGGCGACGAUCCGUAGCUGGUCUGAGAGGAUGACCAGUCACACCGGAACUGAGACACGGUCCGGACUCCUACGGGAGGCAGCAGUGGGGAAUAUUGGACAAUGGGCGCAAGCCUGAUCCAGCCAUGCCGCGUGGGUGAAGAAGGCCUCGGUU